UACGUAGGGUGCGAGCGUUGUCCGGAUUUAUUGGGCGUAAAGAGCUUGUAGGCGGCUCGUCGCGUCGGGUGUGAAAACUUGCGGCUUAACCGCAAGCCUGCACCCGAUACGGGCGGGCUAGAGUUCGGCAGGGGAGACUGGAAUUCCUGGUGUAGCGGUGGAAUGCGCAGAUAUCAGGAGGAACACCGGUGGCGAAGGCAGGUCUCUGGGCCGAUACUGACGCUGAGAAGCGAAAGCGUGGGGAGCGAACAGG
rnacentral:rRNA from 1 species